CCCUUAGAUGUUCUGGGCCGCACGCGCGCUACACUGAUGAAUUCAACAAGCCUAGCCUUGACCGAGAGGUCCGGGUAAUCUUUGAAACUGCAUCGUGAUGGGGCUAGAUUAUUGCAAUUAUUAAUCUUCAACGAGGAAUGCCUAGUAAGCGUGAUUCAUCAAAUCGCGUUGAUUACGUCCCUGCCCUUUGUACACACCGCCCGUCGCUCCUACCGAUUGAAUGUGUUGGUGAGGAGCUCGGAUUGGCAGCAGUUGGUGGUUCGCCACCGGCUAUUGCUGAGAAGUCCUCCAAACCGCCCCAUUUAGAGGAAGGAGAAGUCGUAACA
rnacentral:rRNA from 1 species